UUCUGGUUGAUCCUGCCAGUAGUCAUAUGCUUGUCUCAAAGAUUAAGCCAUGCAUGUCUAAGUAUAAGCAAUUUAUACAGUGAAACUGCGAAUGGCUCAUUAAAUCAGUUAUCGUUUAUUUGAUAGUUCCUUUACUACAUGGUAUAACUGUGGUAAUUCUAGAGCUAAUACAUGCUUAAAAUCUCGACCCUUUGGAAGAGAUGUAUUUAUUAGAUAAAAAAUCAAUGUCUUCGGACUCUUUGAUGAUUCAUAAUAACUUUUCGAAUCGCAUGGCCUUGUGCUGGCGAUGGUUCAUUCAAAUUUCUGCCCUAUCAACUUUCGAUGGUAGGAUAGUGGCCUACCAUGGUUUCAACGGGUAACGGGGAAUAAGGGUUCGAUUCCGGAGAGGGAGCCUGAGAAACGGCUACCACAUCCAAGGAAGGCAGCAGGCGCGCAAAUUACCCAAUCCUAAUUCAGGGAGGUAGUGACAAUAAAUAACGAUACAGGGCCCAUUCGGGUCUUGUAAUUGGAAUGAGUACAAUGUAAAUACCUUAACGAGGAACAAUUGGAGGGCAAGUCUGGU
rnacentral:rRNA from 1 species